rnacentral:ncRNA from 1 species
CGGUGAGGACGACCUCACCCCUGACCGGGGCAAGCAGUUUACGGGACGACCCGA